UUAUCAUACAUAUAUAAUAUAUUUCUACAUCAUACAAGUCAGUACUAUGUAUGUUAGUUUCGGUUCUCUCUAUAUGACCCUCAGUAGGCUUUUUUUUCAUUGGAGAUGAAGAUGCUUAAAUAUAAAUAUAUGUAUAUAUAUAAAAAUCAGCUAAAACCUUUAAAGCACCACUAUUUAGCUUUUCAAGACGAAUUAAGAAAUACAGAUUUAAUCAACACACGUUGGGGUAGAUUUGUUAUCCUAAACAUAAAAAACUUGAUUGUCCUUACUAGCACAAGAGGCUAAGCCCCUGCUUGAAUAGUUUCGGAGGGCCUUGGUCUGGUGGGUGCAUAAAUUUGCAGUUAGGGCAUGCAGGUGAUGACUUACAAAGCAUCACCAACAUGUGGCAUCUCAUGCACACUGUUGCAA
rnacentral:lncRNA from 1 species